rnacentral:RNase_P_RNA from 1 species
GGAGGCGGCCGGACGGCCGCGGGCGCGAUCGUCGAAAGGCGGCGCUCGAGGAAAGUCCGGGCUCCAUAGAGCAGGCUCGCGGGUAACGCCCGUCCGCCGUGAGGCGAGGACCAGCGCCACAGUGACGAUGCCCGCGCAAGCGGGAGUGAAACGCGGCAAGCUCGAGCCGGAGCAAGACCGAAUAGGAGGGCGACGCCGGCGUUCGCGCCGCAGCAGGUGGCUCGCUCCGCCCUCGGGUAGGUCGCUCAGAUGGAUGGCCGUCGCGGCACCGUUGCGGUGCCGGCACAGAACCCGGCUUACAGGCCGCUCUCCAGGG